rnacentral:rRNA from 1 species
GAUGAACGCUGGCGGCGUGCCUAAUACAUGCAAGUCGAGCGAACAGACGAGGAGCUUGCUCCUCUGACGUUAGCGGCGGACGGGUGAGUAACACGUGGAUAACCUACCUAUAAGACUGGGAUAACUUCGGGAAACCGGAGCUAAUACCGGAUAAUAUAUUGAACCGCAUGGUUCAAUAGUGAAAGACGGUUUUGCUGUCACUUAUAGAUGGAUCCGCGCCGCAUUAGCUAGUUGGUAAGGUAACGGCUUACCAAGGCAACGAUGCGUAGCCGACCUGAGAGGGUGAUAGGCCACACUGGAACUGAGACACGGUCCAGACUCCUACGGGAGGCAGCAGUAGGGAAUCUUCCGCAAUGGGCGAAAGCGUGACGGAGCAACGCCGCGUGAGUGAUGAAGGUCUUCGGAUCGUAAAACUCUGUUAUUAGGGAAGAACAAAUGUGUAAGUAACUAUGCACGUCUUGACGGUACCUAAUCAGAAAGCCACGGCUAACUACGUG